rnacentral:lncRNA from 1 species
CUUUUUCUGUGCCUAACGUAGCCAUGGCUCGUGGUCCCAAGAAGCAUCUAAAGCAGGUAGCAGCUCCAAAGCAUUGGAUGCUGGAUAAAUUGACUGGUGUGUUUGCUCCUCAUCCAUCCACCAGUCCCCACAAGUUGAGAGAGUGUCUCCCCCUCAUCAUUUUCAUAAGGAACAGACUUAAGUAUGCCCUGACAGGAGAGGAAGUAAAGAAGAUUUGCAUGCAGCGGUUCAUUAAGAUCGAUGGCAAGGUCCGCACUGAUAUAACCUACCCUGCUGGAUUCAUGGAUGUCAUCAGCAUUGACAAGAUGGGAGAGAAUUUCUGUCUGAUCUGUGACACCAAGGGUCACUUUGCUGUACAUCGUAUUACACCUGAGGAGGCCAAGUACAAGUUGUGAAAAGUGAGAAAAAAUAUUUGUGCGCACAAAAGGAAUCCCUCAUCUGGUGACUCAUGAUGCUCGUACCAUCUGCUACCCUGAUCCCCUCAUCAAGGUGAAUGACACCAUUCAGAUUGAUUUGGAGACUGGCAAGAUUACUGACUUCAUCAGGUUCGACACUGGUAACCUGUGUAUGGUGACUGGAGGUGCCAACCUGGGAAGAAUUGGUGUGAUCACCAACAGAGAGAGGCACCCUGGAUCUCUUGACGUGGUUCACAUGAAAGAUGCCAAUGGCAACAGCUUUGCCACUUGACUUUCCAACAUUUUUGUUGUUUGCAAGGGCAACAUACCAUGGAUUUCUCUUCCCCGAGGAAAGGGUA